UACGAAGGGGGCUAGCGUUGCUCGGAAUUACUGGGCGUAAAGAGCUCGUAGGCGGUUUGUCGCGUCUGCUGUGAAAACUCGGGGCUUAACCCCGGGCCUGCAGUGGGUACGGGCAGACUAGAGUGCGGUAGGGGAGACUGGAAUUCCUGGUGUAGCGGUGAAAUGCGCAGAUAUCAGGAGGAACACCGGUGGCGAAGGCGGGUCUCUGGGCCGUAACUGACGCUGAGGAGCGAAAGCGUGGGGAGCGAACAGG
rnacentral:rRNA from 1 species